rnacentral:rRNA from 1 species
UGGGGAAUAUUGCACAAUGGGCGAAAGCCUGAUGCAGCAACGCCGCGUGAGUGAUGAAGGCCUUCGGGUUGUAAAGCUCUGUCUUUUGGGACGAUAAUGACGGUACCAAAGGAGGAAGCCACGGCUAACUACGUGCCAGCAGCCGCGGUAAUACGUGGGUGGCAAGCGUUGUCCGGAUUUACUGGGCGUAAAGGAUGCGUAGGCGGAUUUUUAAGUGAGAUGUGAAAUACCCGGGCUUAACUUGGGUGCUGCAUUUCAAACUGGGAAUCUAGAGUGCGGGAGAGGAGAAUGGAAUUCCUAGUGUAGCGGUGAAAUGCGUAGAGAUUAGGAAGAACACCAGUGGCGAAGGCGAUUCUCUGGACCGUAACUGACGCUGAGGCAUGAAAGCGUGGGUAGCAAACAGGAUUAGAUACCCUGGUAGUCCACGCCGUAAACGAUGAGUACUAGGUGUAGGAGGUAUCGACCCCUUCUGUGCCGCAGUUAACACAAUAAGUACUCCGCCUGGGAAGUACGAUCGCAAGAUUAAAACUCAAAUGAAUUGACGGGGUC